GACGAACGCUGGCGGCGUGCCUAAUACAUGCAAGUAGAACGCUGAAGGAAGGAGCUUGCUCCUUCUGGAUGAGUUGCGAACGGGUGAGUAACGCGUAGGUAACCUGCCUGGUAGCGGGGGAUAACUAUUGGAAACGAUAGCUAAUACCGCAUAAAAUUGAUUAUUGCAUGAUAGUCAAUUAAAAGGUGCAACUGCACCACUACCAGAUGGACCUGCGUUGUAUUAGCUAGUUGGUGGGGUAACGGCUCACCAAGGCGACGAUACAUAGCCGACCUGAGAGGGUGAUCGGCCACACUGGGACUGAGACACGGCCCAGACUCCUACGGGAGACAGCAGUAGGGAAUCUUCGGCAAUGGACGGAAGUCUGACCGAGCAACGCCGCGUGAGUGAAGAAGGUUUUCGGAUCGUAAAGCUCUGUUGUAAGAGAAGAACGAGUGUGAGAGUGGAAAGUUCACACUGUGACGGUAGCUUACCAGAAAGGGACGGCUAACUACGUG
rnacentral:rRNA from 1 species